CAGGUAGGUGGGAACUCUUAAGCCAGGCAAAGAUGUGUCAGUUCUGUGGGGAAAGUAGAAGGGUGAUCCAUGGCACUAGAUAGAUGUCCCUUCUUCCUUAGAAAUUUCUAUCUCUCUUUCUCUCUCUUUCUCUCCCCUAGCUCCCAGGAGACCUGAUGUGUCCCAGGUCCAGACUGAUACUUUGCAAGGUAUAUUUCACAGUGUGGACAGCCACCUUGGAAUAAUGGGCCAAGUAGAAGGCAGCUUCGCCUUCUUUGGAUUUCCAUGGACUCUGUACCUCCUAGAAAACAUAUUCAUCCUAAACUGACCUGGUUUAUUCAGAGGUAAAUCUUCAACCACUUGGACAAUAGGCAGUGAGCUGUCACUGCUCAGAACUGAGGCUCCUGGAUGAAGAGCCCUCCAGAUGUUGGCCUCCUCUACCUACUUCUUACACCAACAGUCCUUCCCCGGAAGCUGAAUGGGACAGAAGCAGGGAGGAGAGAAGCAGCACGGCCUAGUGGAAAGGGCCCAGGCUUGGGAGCCGGAGAAUCUGGAUUCCAACUCUGGCUCCACCAACCAUCUGCCGUGUGACCUUGGGCAAGCGGCAACACUUCUCUGGACCUCAGUCACUUCAUUUGUAAAAUGGGGGA